GUAAAUGGGCCCGAUUGGGGCCCGCCUUGGGUGUGAGAGUGGCCACUGCCGCCACUGAAGUUGAUUCAAGAGCUGGCCAUGGCCCGGUGCCGGGGUCACAGGGUUCAAGGCUGUUUAGUUCCCUGAACAGCCACCGUCGAAGGCAUCCAAGGCAUCUCUGGGUAUGCACAGGUGUGAACUUAAGCCAACAGAACCAGAGCCUACAGGACCCACCUCCCAAGGGGCAACUCUGGAACUUCCUACAGGGAGACAGCAGCAGUCUGAGUGCCCCUGCCUGUUUCUGUCACUUCAGUGAUGAGGGAGUCUUUGUGGACUCUGGGACAAGCCUCUCCGAGGGACACUCCUGUCAGGUGUUCUCAAGUCCAUCUGAAAGUGGAAAAGGAUCUCUAGGGAAACUAUAGGCUACAGGACUAGGACAUUUGUAGUGGGUCUGGUCCCUGGAGAUGGAGGGCCUUCCCUUAGUCCAGGCCUCUCCAGACUGACACUGGCCUGUUUUGUCAUCACAGUGGUAUCAAACUCAGAGUGUUCUGCAGAUGAGGGGAGGUUUAUGUGGCCUCUGGAUUGAGAAACUGCAGAGCUGACUCUCAUUGCUGGACAGCUACUUACUGGGGAGAGUCUCUGAACUAGGCUUCUUCCACUUCUGCACUGAAAUGAACACGGCCUCUGAGACCUAGCAGAGUCUGGCCCUGACUUCUGGUUGGAUUGCCCAGAUUAGACUUGCCUACCCCACACUGAUAGCUAACAUGGGUGAUGUCCUAACUUCACCUAUAUAGGAUAGCUCACUUGGCCAGGUCCUGCCCUGUCAGGGACCAGACAUUUGUGGGCAGCUUGUCUGUUCCUCACUUCAGCAAACUUCACACUAUUGUUUCUAAAGUAAAGCUGCAAGUUCCAAAGUAAACUUUCCAUUAACUCAAGA